UCUUCCUGCCGCUUUUCUGCUGACCUCCGCCUUGGCUGGCUUUUCCUUCCCCUUUCCCCAGCCCCUCUCUCUCCACUGCCACCAUGGGCCCAGUAGAGCCUGGGGUGGGGGGUGGGGGAGCCCUAAUUCCACCCUCUCUCCUGCUGGGACCUCCAGACAGGUCCCUGACCCUGCGGCAGACCCGGCAGGGCUGGAGCCCUCUCCCUGCCCCGCCCCCACCACCACCUCCAGGCAGCCUUCAUUCUUAGAAGGUCCUUGGACACACGAAACCGGAAUCUGCUUCCCUGACUUCUCUGCUGCUGCUUCUAAGACCUUCCUCUUGCCCGAUGUCCCCGCAGAGACCGGCAAGCUACAGCCUUUCCUGACCGCGGUCCCUCCGGUAGUCGGUGGUGGUGCCAGCAUCAGAAAAGGGAGCCAUCUUGGCCAAAGUCCUGUGGCAAGAGAGUCACAGAGGAGGGAACGGGGCUUGGGGCUACAGUCCCCAGAAACCUGGCCUUCCCACUGUCCUGAGGACAGUCAAGAAGGAAGCUCGAGCUGCACCUGGUGCUGCUGAAGAAUGGGAUCCCAGCAAAAGUCUGCAGCUCUAGGUCCCCUGAAGGCACUCCAAGAGGACAAAGUCCAGUGGAAUGAAGGUCCUGAGGUGAGGUCUGCCCUGCUUUAUGGGAGCCAGGGGAGCUCCCGGCCCAGCCCUGCCACUCACUUGUUCUGCUGUGAAUGAAUGUGCUCUACCCUCUCUGUGCCUUGGUCUCCGCCCAGCUGCUGCCUCCUUCCCGGGGGUGGAGGGGGGCAGGGUUUCGACUGGCACACAAGGCUCCUUCUGGGCUGCUGCCCACACUAGACCCCCCUUACAAAGGAAUUCCAGGAAACUACCCUUCAAAAACAAACAAAGGGGGGGGGGAGGAAGUUGCAUAGGGAGAGCUAUGCAUCCCCACUGCCCACACCACACACACACACACCCACCUCACAGGUCAAGCUGGAGUCCCAGGUCCAACACUCAGGGCCAUCCUGUGACCUCGAGCAAGUCAUUUAGACUCUCUGAGUCCUCAUCGGUAACACAGUGGGUCUGAGAAUCAAGUUAGACCCUGUAGCUCGGGGCAGAGCACGGACUAAGUGCUCAGGAGGUGGGACUGGGGUUAGGGUUGGGCCACGCCUGCCUGGAUGGCAGAGCAAGACUCCUCCAUCUUCCUCCUUCGGCCUCUGCUACAGCUGGGAUUCACUGGGGGUCAGCGGAAUUCAGGGAUUCUUUUAACAGGUGGAUUUGGUGGGAGGAGCCAAACACCUGGGCCUCACUAGAGAGGGCAGAGAUGGGACGCCCCCCCACCCCAGCUUUAGGCUUUGUAGCAAUGGUGCCCCCCAACACUAGCUAGGAUCAGGGGAUUUCCUGGUCACAGCAAACAAGACCUCCCAAACAUUUUUGAAUAGAAGCUACCACCCCCUAGAUCCCCAUUCUAGAAGGAAUGCUUUGACUUUCAGGAACCCACUCCUCUCUCCCUAAAAUUGAUUAUGGAUAUUGGAUCUAAGAAGUCAUCAGAGCCUUGGUGGUUUGCCUCCUCAGGUGGUAGAUGGGAGAGCUAAAUCCAAUCUCACAGACAUCCCUGGGAAUUGCCUCUGUGCUGGUCCUAUACUGGAAGUCCCUGUCCCCCAGGGCUCCUAUCCAAUGGGGAAGACAGUCCAUGAACAUCACCAAAGGCAACACAAGAUGGAAAGUGCUUUGAGCCGUGAGAGACUGAGAUCAGGGAAAAGGGAGACCACCUCUGACUGAUAAGUAGAUUCCCGGAAGGCUUCCUGUAGGAAGUGGCAUUGAGCUGGGUCUGAAGGAUAGCUAAGAUGUGUCUCUUUCUCUCUCUGGAGGAAAAAAAAAAAAAUUGAAACAAAACGAGAAAACAAAGGAAUAACCACUUCUAUUUUCACAACCCCAAGUUAACACUUGGCCAAGUUUUCAUUUUGAUCCACAUACAUGAAAUGACUUUCCGGUAACUUUAAUUUCUUCCCCUUGUCCCCAGUGGCAAUUUCCAUUAUGAAUUUGGUAAAUAUCCCUUCACAACUCUGCCUCUAAAAUAAUUAAUUUAUAGUGCAAAAUAGGGUCAGGAAUAAUUUUUUUUAAUUACUUCGUGUCAUUCCAGUUUACAUAAGGGGUGUCACACUGUCUCUGUGACUCUGUUUGCUUUUUCCACUGCCCGUUAUGUUUCGGGGGCUCUCUGGUUCAAACACAUGGCUGGGGCUCCCCACACGGCAUCCCACGGAUGCACCGUGCUUAUGUACUCCUGGACUUGGUCGGGUUUCCACGGAUCGAGGUCAUCCAGGGAGGCAUUUCAGGUAGAGGAAGCAGUGGCAGCAAAGGCUCAAGGAUGGGAAAAGUGGGGGGGCGCAUCUGGGGGGCUGGCAGGAGUCCAGGGUGGAGGGAGCACCAGCAGUGUGUGGGAGUGCUGAGGGAGGCCUCAAGCCCCAGGCCAGGAAUCCACUGCUGGCAUGCUGGCCAUCUGGGAGUGUGGGGACAGACCCUCCCCCCCUUAGAACCGCCCUCCACAAUAAUUCCACUUAUCCACCCUCCAAGUCCUCCCCAGGGAGGCCUCUGUUACUCUUUCCAUUAAUUGUCUCAUUAAUGACCCACUGAAGUCAAGUAUCCAUUGUUCUCUGGGCCUGGGGCAGCCUCCCCGGCUUUCUACCCUGGGGGGUUUGUAAACGUCUUUCCUUCCCCGCUUUCCUUUGGCAGGCGCCCUUAUCUGGUCCCUGCAGCCCUGGCCCAGGCUGCUGCUGCCCCUUCCUCCACCCCCACCCUGCCCACGGGCCCGCCGCGGCCUCCACCUCCACCAGCUCCUAGCGCGCUCGCCCCCUCGCCUCCCUCUGCCUCACUCCGUCUCCGCUCUCUGCACGUCUCUUCCCGGUUUUCUGUUCUCUUUCUUUUCUCUUCCUUUCUUCUUCUCUCUCCCUUAACUGUGUUUCUCUCCCUGGAUUUCUGCUGCUUUCUCUCUUCGCGUGUAUUUAUCUCCCUCUGUGUCUCUAUCUCCGUGUCUCUCUCUGGGGGUCUUGGAAAAUCUCUUCAGGAUGAUCGCCUCAUUCUUAACCCUCUGUUUCUUUCCGUCUUUGUCUCCGUCUCUCAUCUGUCACUACCUGCUGACUGUGUUGUGUGUCUCUCUUUGUCUCUCUGAUUCUGCCUCUUUCUCCCUCCCUCUGGCCUUUGUGCAUCUCUCUGUCUCUCCCUCUCUGUUUGUCUCAUGUCUGUCUCUCUCCUCUCUCCGACUCACCUCUCCCUAGCUGUCCCUCCUCCCGUGGGUCUCUGAACCUUCCUGAUUGACUAUUGUCCUGUUUCCAACCCCACUGCCUGCUCACCCACUGGGUCCCUGACACCCACACUGGUUGGAGUUUCCCUCUGUUGCCUUGUUCCCUGGUUACCGCUCCGGCUUCCCUUGGGUGAUGGUGUCAGGACAGCAGUGCUAGGAGUAGGCGUGACAUCCCGUAGCUAGCAGACUUCGGGAUUCAUGCAUCUGUUAGGUUAAAAACAAAACAAAGCAAAAAGGAAAAAAAAAAAAAAUCCACAAAACCCGAGGUGACCAAUAGAGGGUGUUUAUCUUUCUAAAUGGGAUUUUUUUUUUCUAGAAUCACCAACUUCUUCUCAUUCUGUAAUAUAAAGAACACUUUAAGACCAGCAGUGAAAGCAGCAAAAGCAAGAUCGAACAGUAAUAGAAUAGUCCUUUAAGUGAAAUCAAUAUAAUUUUAUGAAAACAUUUGCAACAUUAUGUGUAUUUUACUUAUUCUGCCCCAAAUGCAUGACGCUAUUGUCAGGGACCCGUCCAGUCAGAAACCACUGCUCUUGUGCAAGCCCCUCACUGGACCCAUGGGGAAACGGAGUGACUUUUGCUUUGGGUAGAAAAGGCAAAGCUGGGACAGGACCCUUAGCUCUUGGCCAGUUGGCCACUCCCUCAUCCCAUGGGGCCCCUCUGGUCUCUUCAUUGACAGAACUUCCGGAGGCUGCCUGGCUGGGGGUGCGGGGAGGGCAGACACCAGACCCCUGCAUUCUGUGCCUUCCUCUGGUCCUAUGUGUCUCUGAACAAUUUAACCCCUUGCUGUGCUUCACUUUCCUCAUUUGUAAAAUGAGCAAAAAUAAUAACUAGCUUCCUAGUUAUUAUAGAACAACUAGCCUCACGCACAAGAAAGGUCCAGGACUGUUAGCCACGAUUAGUAUUAUUAUCACAAAGUGGAGGGGGGUAAUUUGGGCCGAGGCUAGAGCCUGGGAGAGGAGGCACAUGUACCCCCCCCACCCCAGGGUGGAGGGGGGGUGGUCAGGCUGAGCGCCGAAUGUCACGGGGAAUACCGGCCUGGGACCCCAGCAAGGCUGCUCUGCGGGGCCGAGGGUGGCACCCUGCCUCUUCAGGAACCCACCCAGCUUGUUCAGGCACCCCAAGCCCAGGAGCCAGCAUUCCAGUCACGGACAUGGGCACUCCCAGAGGGAGCAAAGGCGAAGCUUCAGGUGGCAUUCAUGACUGCAGAGGCGAGCAAGGGGGACCCUGGACACGAGAGGAGCAGGGUGGACGCCAGUGACCAUGGACACCAUGGGAGGCAGCCUUCAGAUGCCCAGAAAUCCUGGAGGCUGACUCAGCGGAUGAGGUUGGAGGUCUGAGCAAACAGCUGCUCCGAGCCAUGCACUGUCCUGGGCAGGGGAUGCACGGAGGAGAAGAACAGGCAAUGUUCUUUCCAGGGAUUCACACGAGGCUGUCUUGUGCUGGUGGUGGUCUGCCUCUGAGGAAGGCCAGACACAGGGCGAGGCCAGCCUGAAACAUUUGACGCUUAAUGUUCCCCGGUGCGUACCACUCCAGGAUGUGCCCGGAAAGGAGAACGCUUUGAAGGAUUAUCAGUACAUGUGCAUGAGUUUGGUCACCUCCUAAAAGAAACAGAGUUUCAUACAAACAUGCAAUGGAACACUAUUCAGCCUCAAAAAGGAGAGACAUUCUGACACCUGCUACGAUGUGGAUGAACCUGGAGGAAGCUGUGCCGAGUGAAAGAAGCCAGACACAAACACUAAGAGAGUUCUGGAGGCCUCCUUCUUGUAUGAUGUGAAUGUACAUGCUCUUGCUGAACUGCAUGCUUACAAAUGGUUAAGGCGGCAAAGGUUAAGGAGAUUUUGUCACAAUUAAAGAUAGAGGUCAUUUUCUAAAGAAGCUUCCAAAUGGAUUACAGAACAAAACCCAGCUCUAAAACAGAAACCACGCCUAGAACAGUCAUUUAGAAACCUACAGGUAGGGGCACCUGGGUGGCUCAGUUGGUUUAAGCCUCUGCCUUCAGCUCAGGUCAUGAUCUCAGGGUUCUGGGAUCAGCCCAGCAUCGGGCUCUCUGCUCAGCAGGGAGUCUGCUUCCUCCUCUCUCUCUGCCUGCCUCUCUGCCUGCUUGUGAUCUCUAUCUGUCAAAUAAAUAAAUAAACUCUUUAAAAAAAAAGAAAAAGAAAAAAGAAACCUACAGGUAAAGGAAUGGGAAAGCUACACCAAGCAAAUGUAAACAAGAAGCAAGUGGGGGCUGGGUGCUUGAUAGAGGACAGACUGGAGUCUCAGACUGCAAGCAUCGAGUGAGAUGAAGACGAGCAGAGUCAGGCUCUCCGGGCACCAGACAACUCGCAGGAAGGCAUCCAGCAGAAAUUACAGGAAGUGCAAGAAGCAAUAUGAAUGCUAGUAAUAGGAGACUGAAACACACCAAAAGGCUGAAAAGGAAUACAGAAAACCUAAUAGAAUCUAUAAAGUACAUUUCCCUUGUACAAAUCAAAAUUUGUACACCCCCUCCCCCCACCACACAGAGACGAUACCCUUUAGUGCACAUCAUGGAAACUGACCACGUAUUAGAGCAAAAGAAACCAGAAAGCUUCGCUCAAUGCUUUCAAGGGCAUAGAGGAUGUAGGAGCACUUUGAAAACAGAAAGGGACCAAGCCAGUAUCAGUUAUUCGUGCCAUCGACGCGAUUUCUGUCGUUACUGUCAUUAUCCGCUGGUUCUCUUUCAAGUUCUAGGGGAGUCUGCCCAGCAGGUGGGAGGUGGAAAUAUGCCAACAUAAACCUUCCCCGUCAUCCCUUCUGUGUUUACGGUGUGCCGUCUCCCAUGCAGCUUUCAAAACACACCUUUAUUAGAAAUAGUUAAUUGUUUUAUGAGAGGGGGCUUUCUGCUUCUAUCGCCUUCGGGGCCUGGAGCAGAGCAUUGUGAGUAAGCUUUCUUGAAGACUUACCAACUGAAGUGCACUGAGUAAGGACCGACUUCAAAGUCAGAUCUGAGUUUCAAACUGACAAGCUGAAUGCCCAUUCUGAACCUUGGUUUUCUCGUAUGUAAACAGAUAGGAGCAGUAGUGACACCAGCUGACACUGUUCAGACGUUUAACUCAUGUGAAGUAACUCAUGUGAAGGGUCAGGCAGGGGACCUGCUCUACGGUAGGCAUGCAGUAAAGGUUAGUCUGAGGUUGAGGAAAAGUAGGUAAAACUCACCAAAACAGAUGAACUUCGACUAGAGGUUCUUUUUUCUCAAAAAGCAGGAAAAUCAUCUUGAAAUGAAAACAUCCUCCAAUGCACGUAAAAUGAUUUUUUCAAGAUUCAUUUAUGUAUUUGAGGGGGGUGGGUCAGGAGGCAAAGGAAGAGGGAGAAAGAGGCCCAAGCAGAUUCAUGCCUGGAGCCCCACAUAGGGUUCAAUCCCAUGACUCCGAGACCAAGACCUAAGCCGAAACCAAGAGUCAGACACCCAAACCGACAGUACCACCCAGGCACCACUAUAAAAUGAUUUUUUAAAAUAUCAUGGGGGUGGCGCACCUGGGUGGCUUAGUCGUUGUCUGCCUUUGGCUCAGAUCAUGAGCUGGCUGGGGGUCCUGGGAUCGAGCCCCACAUUGGGGUCCCGGCUUCGGUGGAAACCCUGCUUCUCCCUCUGCCACUCUCCCUGCUUGUGUUCCCUCUCUCACUGUGUCUCUCGCUGUCAAAUAAAUAAAUAAAAUCUUUAAAAAAUAAAUCAUGGGGUAGCAGUGAAGUAAGUUAAGGUACAUCCAUAGUAUGGAAUAGCACACUGCCAUGAAAAAGGGGUGAGUUGUAUCUCCAGGUUCACAUAUGAGUAGGUGGCCAUCAUGUGUUGUUGCGUUUAAAGAAAAAAAAAAAAAAAAAAGCAAGCUUCCCAAUAUGAACAGAAUUGUUUCAUCCUCUGCUUUUUUAAAAAUUAUGUAAGUAUACAGGUCUGGAGGGAUACACAUCUAAUCAUUAAAGGGGAGUAAGAUGGGAAAGUUGGUCUAACUUUUUAUAUUUCAGUUUCUUUGGUAACUUCUAAAACACACAUACACACACACACGAGCAUGUAAGAAAGUAAAAAAAAAAAAAAAAAAAAAAACAAGACAAAAAUUUUUGAAGUCUCUUUGGUCUGUAUGUUUCAUGGGACUUGGAAAGCUGGUGAGCUGAAUGGAGGAGGAGGUUGAUCCUUCUGGCGAGGGUAGGAAUUUGCACCCGCAGCUUUUCUUUGUGAAAGAAAGAGCUUCAAGGAAGGAGAAAGGGAGAAGGCAUUGCCCCAGCAUUGCUCACUACUCAGCAGACCUGAGCAGGUAGUCUCAUCCUGGUCCCUGCCACCACCGCAGCCCGACACAGAAGAACAGAGAAACUCUUUGAUAAAUGUCAACUGAAAUACAGCAAUCAGCUGAAAGCCAUUUGCUGAGCUGUCUGACUGCCCUGGGCUCGGGGUUUUCCUUUAUUCAUUUAUCAUGAUAUACAGCUUUGGCCAACAUACACACAGGAGAGAAAUUGUUGACAUGUGGGACCCAAGUACAGAAAAUCUUUCAUUUUCCAACCCCUCCCCAACCCCGUCUGUUCACCAAAUAAGUUUUUGUUUAUUUAAAGACUACAGAGGAUUUGGCUGUUAAGAACCAAAUGCCU